CAGCAGCCUGUGGCAGGAGCUGAGCCUGAGAGCUGGUGUUUCCAGUAGCCAGUGAAGCAGAAUCUCUGUGGGGAACAUGAUGUCUUCCACCUGAACUCAUGGUUUCAGUCAAGCACUGUUUUUUUCAUAGAGCCAGUGGAUCACUGGGAAACUGACUCUCAAAAGGGAACAAAGAAACCAGAGACCUCCCUUGUAUCAUUUUCCAGUGUCCCAGGGUGAGCAAUCCUCAGAGACUCACUGAUAUUCUGACUUCAUGCUUCACUAACCUUGACCCAAGAGCUGUUGAAAAAUGCCAGUGCUGAAAUCAGUAGUUUGAGAUACCUAACCUAGGUCCUCCUCCACCGUCAUGCACCAGAACCUGAAAGCCUUGCUGCCCCCUCACCUGCCCUCCAGAGUCUUUGACUUUGGUACAAUACACCAAAGUUACUUGUCAGCUUCUGACCAUG